GGCGUGCCUAAUACAUGCAAGUCGAACGAAGCUUUCUCUCACCGAAUGCUUGCAUUCACCGAAAGAAGCUUAGUGGCGAACGGGUGAGUAACACGUAGGCAACCUGCCCAAAAGAGGGGGAUAACACUUGGAAACAGGUGCUAAUACCGCAUAACCAUGAACACCGCAUGAUGUUCAUGUAAAAGACGGCUUUUGCUGUCACUUUUGGAUGGGCCUGCGGCGUAUUAACUUGUUGGUGGGGUAACGGCCUACCAAGGUGAUGAUACGUAGCCGAACUGAGAGGUUGAUCGGCCACAUUGGGACUGAGACACGGCCCAAACUCCUACGGGAGGCAGCAGUAGGGAAUCUUCCACAAUGGACGAAAGUCUGAUGGAGCAACGCCGCGUGAAUGAAGAAGGCCUUCGGGUCGUAAAAUUCUGUUGUCAGAGAAGAAUGUGCGUGAGAGUAACUGUUCACGUAUUGACGGUAUCUGACCAGAAAGCCACGGCUAACUACGUGCCAGCAGCCGCGGUAAUACGUAGGUGGCAAGCGUUGUCCGGA
rnacentral:rRNA from 1 species